rnacentral:rRNA from 1 species
GGUUAAACUUAUGAUACAAUAAAAAAUUAUUGGUUAUAAUUAAUGAUUAUUUUUGAAUUUAAUUUUAAUUUUAUUAGGUGAAAUUUCUAAAGUUGGAGUAAGUUUUUUUUAUAUAUAUGAGGUUAUUAAAUUUAGGUUAUAGACUAGGAUUAGAUACCCUAUUAUUCUAAUUGAGAUGUAAUUAGCCAGAUUAGUAAUAGUUAUUAUCUUGAAAAUUAAAGGAAUUGGCGGUAUUUUAGUCUAUUCAGAGGAACCUGUCCUAUAAUCGAUGGUCCACGUGUUUUUUUACUUAUUUUAUUAGUUUGUAUAUCGCCGUAUAUUGAAUAUUUUUUAAUGAGUUAAAUGUUCAAGAUUUUCAUGUGAAUAAAAUUCAGGUCAAGGUAUAGCUUAUAGGUAAGAAGAGAUGGGUUACAAUAAAUUUAUUUAUAUGAAUUAGUAAAUUAAAUUUUACUAUGAAGGUGGAUUUGAAGGUAAUUGUAUUAAAAUAAAUAUGAUGAUUUUAGCUCUAAAAUAUGUACAU